CCCUUAUAGGUGGGGCUACACACGUCAUACAAUGGCCGGUACAGAGGUAGCCAACCCGCGAGGGGAGCCAAUCCCACAAAGCCGGUCGUAGUCCGGAUCGGCAGUCUGCAACCUCGACUGCGUGAAGUCGGAAUCGCUAGUAAUCGCGGAUCAGAAUGUCACGGUGAAUACGUUCCCGGGUCUU
rnacentral:rRNA from 1 species